rnacentral:rRNA from 1 species
GCGAACGCUGGCGGCAGGCCUAACACAUGCAAGUCGAACGAACCUUUCGGGGUUAGUGGCGGACGGGUGAGUAACACGUGGGAACGUGCCUUUAGGUUCGGAAUAACUCAGGGAAACUUGUGCUAAUUCCGAAUGUGCCCUUCGGGGGAAAGAUUAAUCGCCUUUAGAGCGGCCCGCGUCUGAUUAGCUAGUUGGUUGAGGUAAUGGCUCACCAAGGCGACGAUCAGUAGCUGGUCUGAGAGGAUGAUCAGCCACAUUGGGACUGAGACACGGCCCAAACUCCUACGGGAGGCAGCAGUGGGGAAUCUUGCGCAAUGGGCGAAAGCCUGACGCAGCCAUGCCGCGUGAAUGAUGAAGGUCUUAGGAUUGUAAAAUUCUUUCACCGGGGACGAUAAUGACGGUACCCGGAGAAGAAGCCCCGGCUAACUUCG